rnacentral:rRNA from 1 species
UCUUUUUGGAGAGUUUGAUCCUGGCUCAGGACGAACGCUGGCGGCGUGCCUAAUACAUGCA